rnacentral:rRNA from 1 species
AUUGAACGCUGGCGGCAGGCUUAACACAUGCAAGUCGAGUGGAGAGAGGUAGCUUGCUACCGAUCUUAGCGGCGGACGGGUGAGUAAUGCUUAGGAAUCUGCCUAUUAGUGGGGGACAACAUUUCGAAAGGAAUGCUAAUACCGCAUACGUCCUACGGGAGAAAGCAGGGGAUCUUCGGACCUUGCGCUAAUAGAUGAGCCUAAGUCGGAUUAGCUAGUUGGUGGGGUAAAGGCCUACCAAGGCGACGAUCUGUAGCGGGUCUGAGAGGAUGAUCCGCCACACUGGGACUGAGACACGGCCCAGACUCCUACGGGAGGCAGCAGUGGGGAAUAUUGGACAAUGGGCGCAAGCCUGAUCCAGCCAUGCCGCGUGUGUGAAGAAGGCCUUAUGGUUGUAAAGCACUUUAAGCGAGGAGGAGGCUACUCUAGUUAAUACCUAGAGAUAGUGGACGUUACUCGCAGAAUAAGCACCGGCUAACUCUGUGCCAGCCGCCGCGGUAAAAC